AUAAAAGGCAGACUGCAUAAAGAAAAUUGAGGUAUAAAAUGUACAGCACCUUGUGUUGUUUUCUGUGUCUGUUUAUAAGUGCGGUGCAGUGCAAAACCAAACUUGAGAAAAGGAAAAUAAAUCAUGCUCAUAUGUGAGCUUCCAGAAGGAACACAUUUCCUUGGUAAUCUAAUAGAAGCUGCAAGCAAUUCAAAUGAAACAACCCACUAUUAAUCAAC